GAUGAACGUUGGCGGUGUGCCUAAUACAUGCAAGUCGAACGGAGCUAAUAGCAAUAUUGGCUUAGUGGCGAACGGGUGAGUAACGCGUUGGUGAUCUGCCUUGAAGUGUGGAAUAACGUUCCGAAAGGAUCGCUAAUACCGCAUGUGCUCUCGAUUUUCAGAAAGUUGAGAGUAAAGGAUUUAUUCGCUUCAAGAGGAGCCUGCGUCCCAUCAGCUGGUUGGUAGGGUAACGGCCUACCAAGGCUAUGACGGGUAGGGGACCUGAGAGAGUGGCCCCCCACAAUGGAACUGAAACACGGUCCAUACACCUACGGGUGGCAGCAGUAGGGAAUAUUAGAAAUGGACGAAAGUCUGAUCUAGCAACACCGCGUGUGCGAAGAAGGCCUUCGGGUCGUAAAGUUCUUUUAUAUGGGAUGAGGAAGGACAGUACCAUAUGAAUAAGUCUCGGCUAACUACGUG
rnacentral:rRNA from 1 species